UCGCAAGACCAAAGAGGGGGACCUUCGGGCCUCUUGCCAUCGGAUGUGCCCAGAUGGGAUUAGCUAGUAGGUGGGGUAAAGGCUCACCUAGGCGACGAUCCCUAGCUGGUCUGAGAGGAUGACCAGCCACACUGGAACUGAGACACGGUCCAGACUCCUACGGGAGGCAGCAGUGGGGAAUAUUGCACAAUGGGCGCAAGCCUGAUGCAGCCAUGCCGCGUGUAUGAAGAAGGCCUUCGGGUUGUAAAGUACUUUCAGCGGGGAGGAAGGGAGUAAAGUUAAUACCUUUGCUCAUUGACGUUACCCGCAGAAGAAGCACCGGCUAACUCCGUGCCAGCAGCCGCGGUAAUACGGAGGGUGCAAGCGUUAAUCGGAAUUACUGGGCGUAAAGCGCACGCAGGCGGUUUGUUAAGUCAGAUGUGAAAUCCCCGGGCUCAACCUGGGAACUGCAUCUGAUACUGGCAAGCUUGAGUCUCGUAGAGGGGGGUAGAAUUCCAGGUGUAGCGGUGAAAUGCGUAGAGAUCUGGAGGAAUACCG
rnacentral:rRNA from 1 species